AUGAAGGAGCCCCUGCUUUCAAGGCAGAAGUCUUCAGCCUGCCGGGGGGUGCCCUGCCCUGCCCCUGCCCCCCCCCCCCCAGCAGCCGGGCCUGCUCCGCGGGUCUGCGAGCCGCCCUCCCCGCCGGUGCCCCCGGGCCGACCCUCCCUCCCGCGGCCCCGCCUUCCCUCCCGAGCCCCGCUCCGCGGCCCCGGACUCACCUGCGGGGGGCGCCGGCCUUCCUUCCGAGCAGCGUCGGGGGCCAAGCCCCAGGGGAGGUCGGGGGGCCCCCCAGGCUCCCUAGGGCGGGCUUCUGUGUCUGGAGUCGGCCCCUGGCCGCGGGGGGGUCCCCAGGGGCGCCGCGGGAGACAUCGGGGCGGUGGGGGCGGGGCCUCUGCGCUCCCGGGACGCGGGCAGGACCGGCCUCCCGCAGGACGCGCGGGGGCCCGAGGCCACAGGUGCCCGCGCGUGGGCCGGCGUCGGAGGGCGCGGAGGGCGCGGGGAUCCCCCAGCCCACGCGGGCGUCCCCGGGCUCGGCUCGGUGCGGGCAGGUCCGCGGGGGCGGGCGGGGCCGGGGCGCGGGGGGCGCGGGAGGGGGGAGGGGAGGGGAGCGCAGGGGGGCGCGGAGGGGAGGAGAGCGCAGGGGGCCCGGAGGGGAGCGCAGGGGGGCGCGGAGGGGAGGAGAGCGCAGGGGGCCCGGAGGGGAGCGCAGGGGGGCGGGAGGGGAGGGGAGCGCAGAGGGGCACGGAGGGGGAGGGGAGGGGAGCGCAGGGGGGCGCGGAGGGGGAGGGGAGGGGAGCGCAGGGGGCGCGGAGGGGGAGGGGAGGCGAGCGCAGGGGGGCGCAGGGGGCGCGGAGGGGGAGGGGAGGGGAGCGCAGGGGGGCGCGGAGGGGGAGGGGAGCGCAGGGGGGCGCAGGGGGCGCGGAGGGGGAGGGGAGGGGAGCGCAGGGGGGGAGGGGGAGGGGAGGCGAGCGCAGGGGGCGCAGGGGGCGCGGAGGGGGAGGGGAGGCGAGCGCAGGGGGGGCGCGCGGCGGGCCGGGCCCGGGCGCCCGGGGCUCGCAGCCUCCGCCGCGCUGCGCUCCUCCCGGCUCGCCGCGUCGCCAGCCCCCGGGCGCGGGUGAGGCUGCGGGGAGCCGGGGGCAGAGCGGCGCGGGGCCGGGGGCCUCCCUCCGCCGCCUCGCCCGGCCCUGCGCUGCCCGGCCCCGCGGGGCCCCGCCGGCCUGGCCCGCGCCUCGGCCCCUCGGCCCCUCGCCCUCGGCCCCUCGGCCCCUCGGCCCCUCGGCCCCUCCGCCCCGCGGCCCCGCGGCCCCUCCGGCCCGCCGCCCCUCCCGCCCUCGGCCCUCGGCCCCGCCGCCCCCGCCGGCCCGGCCGCCCCCCGCCGCCUCCCGCAGCGGCGCCCGCUCGCCCGGCCCGGCCCGGCGCUGGCGGAGAAGGGCGGCCCCGCGCGCCGGGAGGGAGCUUUUAAAGCGACACACACGCCGCCCAGCGCCGAGCGCGCCCGCCGGGGGCUCGGCUCCGAGUGACGCUGGGGCCCCGCGCCCCGGGCCUAGGCGCCCUCGCCCGGAGCGACCCCGCGGGACCCGCCCCCCGCCCCGUGACCCCGCCCCCUCCGCGGGGCGCCCGAGCGCCUCUUGGGCCUGA
rnacentral:lncRNA from 1 species